AGAGUUUGAUCCUGGCUCAGGAUGAACGCUAGCUACAGGCUUAACACAUGCAAGUCGAGGGGCAGCAUGGUCUUAGCUUGCUAAGGCCGAUGGCGACCGGCGCACGGGUGAGUAACACGUAUCCAACCUGCCGUCUACUCUUGGACAGCCUUCUGAAAGGAAGAUUAAUACAAGAUGGCAUCAUGAGUCCGCAUGUUCACAUGAUUAAUGGUAUUCCGGUAGACGAUGGGGAUGCGUUCCAUUAGAUAGUAGGCGGGGUAACGGCCCACCUAGUCUUCGAUGGAUAGGGGUUCUGAGAGGAAGGUCCCCCACAUUGGAACUGAGACACGGUCCAAACUCCUACGGGAGGCAGCAGUGAGGAAUAUUGGUCAAUGGGCGAGAGCCUGAACCAGCCAAGUAGCGUGAAGGAUGACUGCCCUAUGGGUUGUAAACUUCUUUUAUAAAGGAAUAAAGUCGGGUAUGCAUACCCGUUUGCAUGUACUUUAUGAAUAAGGAUCGGCUAACUCCGUGCCAGCAGCCGCGGUAAUACGGAGGAUCCGAGCGUUAUCCGGAUUUAUUGGGUUUAAAGGGAGCGUAGAUGGAUGUUUAAGUCAGUUGUGAAAGUUUGCGGCUCAACCGUAAAAUUGCAGUUGAUACUGUAUAUCUUGAGUGCAGUUGAGGCAGGCGGAAUUCGUGGUGUAGCGGUGAAAUGCUUAGAUAUCACGAAGAACUCCGAUUGCGAAGGCAGCCUGCUAAGCUGCAACUGACAUUGAGGCUCGAAAGUGUGGGUAUCAAACAGGAUUAGAUACCCUGGUAGUCCACACGGUAAACGAUGAAUACUCGCUGUUUGCGAUAUACAGCAAGCGGCCAAGCGAAAGCGUUAAGUAUUCCACCUGGGGAGUACGCCGGCAACGGUGAAACUCAAAGGAAUUGACGGGGGCCCGCACAAGCGGAGGAACAUGUGGUUUAAUUCGAUGAUACGCGAGGAACCUUACCCGGGCUUAAAUUGCAGAUGAAUUACGGUGAAAGCCGUAAGCCGCAAGGCAUCUGUGAAGGUGCUGCAUGGUUGUCGUCAGCUCGUGCCGUGAGGUGUCGGCUUAAGUGCCAUAACGAGCGCAACCCUUGUUGUCAGUUACUAACAGGUUCUGCUGAGGACUCUGACAAGACUGCCAUCGUAAGAUGUGAGGAAGGUGGGGAUGACGUCAAAUCAGCACGGCCCUUACGUCCGGGGCUACACACGUGUUACAAUGGGGGGUACAGAGGGCCGCUACCACGCAAAUACGCUCGAACCCCUAAAACAUGUCUCAGUUCGGACUGGGGUCUGCAACCCGACCCCACGAAGCUGG
rnacentral:rRNA from 1 species